GACGAACGCUGGCGGCGUGCCUAAUACAUGCAAGUCGAACGAACCGCGACUAAGUGCUUGCACUAAGUCAAGGUGAGUGGCGAACGGGUGAGUAACACGUGGGUAACCUACCUCAUAGUGGGGGAUAACAGUCGGAAACGACUGCUAAUACCGCAUAGGACAUAGGAUCACAUGAUCCAGUGAGGAAAGGUGGCGCAAGCUAUCGCUAAGAGAUGGACCCGCGGUGCAUUAGCUAGUUGGUAGUGUAAAGGCCUACCAAGGCGAUGAUGCAUAGCCGACCUGAGAGGGUGAUCGGCCACAUUGGGACUGAGACACGGCCCAAACUCCUACGGGAGGCAGCAGUAGGGAAUCUUCCGCAAUGGACGCAAGUCUGACGGAGCAACGCCGCGUGAGUGAAGAAGGUCUUCGGAUCGUAAAGCUCUGUUGUUAGAGAAGAACAGCGCAUAGAGUAACUGCUAUGCGUGUGACGGUAUCUAACCAGAAAGCCACGGCUAACUACGUG
rnacentral:rRNA from 1 species